AGUGAACGCUGGCGGUAGGCCUAACACAUGCAAGUCGAACGGCAGCACAGUAAGAGCUUGCUCUUACGGGUGGCGAGUGGCGGACGGGUGAGGAAUACAUCGGAAUCUACUUUUUCGUGGGGGUUAACGUAGGGAAACUUACGCUAAUACCGCAUACGACCUACGGGUGAAAGCAGGGGAUCUUCGGACCUUGCGCGAUUGAAUGAGCCGAUGUCGGAUUAGCUAGUUGGCGGGGUAAAGGCCCACCAAGGCGACGAUCCGUAGCUGGUCUGAGAGGAUGAUCAGCCACACUGGAACUGAGACACGGUCCAGACUACUACGGGAGGCAGCAGUGGGGAAUAUUGGACAAUGGGCGCAAGCCUGAUACAGCCAUACCGAGUGGGUGAAGAAGGCCUUCGGGUUGUAAAGCCCUUUUGUUGGGAAAGAAAAGCAGCAGGUUAAUACCCCGCUGUUCUGACGGUACCCAAAGAAUAAGCACCGGCUAACUUCGUG
rnacentral:rRNA from 1 species